UGAACGAAAAUUCAUGAUAGUAUGAAUACGCUUUUUUCUAUUCUAACUUAUAUUAUUUUAUCUGUGAAAUUUGGGUAGUUAUAUUUCUACUUUAUUUUUUAGCAUAGUUUUUGUGUGUGUGUCUAUGUAAUAAUAGUAAAAAAGAACAUUUGAAAAUUUAAGGAUUUUACAUCAAAAUAACCUAAAGGACAUAGAGCCGUGGAUCAUUACAAAACUAAACAUGAACAAAAUAGAUAUUCAAAACAACAACAUUACUCGCCUGAGGAAACAUGCUUUUGGGGUAUUUGUAGAUGCGACGAAGCGAUUCUUUUUAAUAACUCGAUAGAAGUUUUGGAGCAAGAAAUAUUUGGAUUAGUAAUCUCAAUGUAAGUACAAGAUAAUAGUCAU